rnacentral:rRNA from 1 species
ACGCUCGACACCUACGGGAGCAGCAGUGGGGAAUAUUGCACAAUGGGGGAAACCCUGAUGCAGCGACGCCGCGUGAGCGAAGAAGUAUUUCGGUAUGUAAAGCUCUAUCAGCAGGGAAGAAACUGACGGUACCUGACUAAGAAGCACCGGCUAAAUACGUGCAGCAGCCGCGGUAAUCUGAGCGGGCUGGCAAGGC